UCCUGCACGACGUUAAUCGGAGCAGGGUGAGUCGGCCCCUAAGGCGAGGCUGAAGAGCGUAGUCGAUGGGAACCAGGUUAAUAUUCCUGGACUUUUUAUAAGUGGUGAAGUGGGGACGAAGAAGGCUAGGUGAGCCAGGCGUUGGUUGUCCUGGUACUUGCAUGUAGGGGGGAAGACUUGGCAAAUCCGGUUUUCCAUAACUCUGAGGUGCGAAGUGGUUCUGACCUUUUGGUACAGAGAAGUCAUUGAUGCCCGGCUUCCAGGAAAAGCUGCUAGCCAUAACUUAUAGAGAACCGUACCGCAAACCGACACAGGUGGACAGGUAGAGAAUACUAAGGCGCUUGAGAGAACUCGGGUGAAGGAACUAGGCAAAAUGGUACCGUAACUUCGGGAGAAGGUACGCCCUUUUGGGUGAGGGCAUUUACUGUCUGAGCUUAAGAGGGCCGCAGAGACCAGGUGGCUGCGACUGUUUAUUAAAAACACAGCACUCUGCAAAUUCGUAAGAAGACGUAUAGGGUGUGACGCCUGCCCGGUGCCGGAAGGUUAAUUGAUGGGGUUAUCUUCGGAGAAGCUCUUGAUCGAAGCCCCGGUAAACGGCGGCCGUAACUAUAACGGUCCUAAGGUAGCGAAAUUCCUUGUCGGGUAAGUUCCGACCUGCACGAAUGGCGUAACGAUGGCCACACUGUCUCCACCCGAGACUCAGUGAAAUUGAAAUCGCUGUGAAGAUGCAGUGUACCCGCGGCUAGACGGAAAGACCCCGUGAACCUUUACUAUAGUUUUGCACUGGACUUUGAUGAUGACUGUGUAGGAUAGGUGGGAGGCUGUGAAGUGAGGACGCUAGUUCUCAUGGAGCCGCCCUUGAAAUACCACCCUGUUGUUAUUGAGGUUCUAACUUGGUCCAGUAAUCCUGGAUGAGGACAGUGUAUGAUGGGUAGUUUGACUGGGGCGGUCUCCUCCCAAAGAGUAACGGAGGAGCACAAAGGUACCCUCGGUACGGUCGGACAUCGUACCAAGAGUGUAAAGGCAAAAGGGUGCUUGACUGCGAGAGUGACGGCUCGAGCAGGAACGAAAGUUGGUCUUAGUGAUCCGGUGGUUCUGAAUGGAAGGGCCAUCGCUCAACGGAUAAAAGGUACUCCGGGGAUAACAGGCUGAUACCGCCCAAGAGUUCAUAUCGACGGCGGUGUUUGGCACCUCGAUGUCGGCUCAUCACAUCCUGGGGCUGAAGCAGGUCCCAAGGGUAUGGCUGUUCGCCAUUUAAAGUGGUACGCGAGCUGGGUUUAGAACGUCGUGAGACAGUUCGGUCCCUAUCUGCCGUGGGCGUAGGAAAAUUGAGAGGAGCUGCUCCUAGUACGAGAGGACCGGAGUGGACGAACCUCUGGUGCACCGGUUGUCACGCCAGUGGCAUGGCCGGGUAGCUAAGUUCGGACGGGAUAACCGCUGAAAGCAUCUAAGCGGGAAGCCUCCCUCAAGAUGAGUUUUCCCAUGAAGCCCGUUGAAGACUACGACGUUGAUAGGCAAGGUGUGGAAGCGCAGUAAUGCGUGAAGCUAACUUGUACUAAUUGGCUGAUUGUCUUGACCAUAUAAUCUGAG
rnacentral:rRNA from 1 species